CUUCAACCGUGGCGGUGAUUGAGCGGCCACAUUGCGGCCGGAUUAAGACUGCAACAACCUGAGUGAUGAAACAACGUUAUCUUUAAAGAUCUUAAGGGAGUACCAGCGCACUGAAUCAAUAUUAAGAUCAUUCAUAGACACAAUUCGUGAGCAGGUGGUAUUCUACAAAUCCUGCAGUCUGAUGGGUUCCAAGAGUGGGCAGUAUUCUCCCCAUUCAGCCCACUCACAGCAGUGAAAUGAUGUUCAAGAGGCAAAGGCAAUUGUUCCACAGAUUGAAAAGAGACAGUGUAUUCUUCAGGGAGAAUCAGAUUCAAUGAAAAUCAAAAAAAUUUGGUAGAGCGUCUGUCAAGAAAGGGAAACCAGCCCCCUAACAUCAAUGGACACAACACAAGAAUGAAAGAACAAGCAGAAACGCCAAGCUUUCCAACAGACGUGGGACCUGCAGCCGAGACACAUGCUUUCACCUGGAAAUCUCUCUCGCUAUACGAUUGAGAGCUCUCUGCGAAGACCAUUUGCUGGAACCUUGAUCCGCGCCUCAUAGAUGUUAUGACAUGGGAGCCAUAUUUAUCUAGGAAAGUACGAUAUGCUCUCCAAGAAUUGUGAGACCAAGGCUUUUCAAUUUUUAAUGGCAGGUUUUCUAAAUAGUCCAGAAAACCUCCAUCGAGGGUGGAUUUUUUGGCAUUCACAAGGCAUUCUUUAUUGACGUAAAUCUUUUCUGUCAACGCCUCCUUGAUCAAAGAUAUGCCACUCACUUCUGUUUUCAAUGAACUUUUGCUCUUUGUUGCCACUGAUACAGUAGCGCUCAAAGUAAACGUCGAGGUUAACGAGGCGCUCAGGCUUGACUCGGUGGCCAGUGACUUAUACAAUUCCUUGGUACUUUUAUAGUAAUCGAAUUUGCUGCUUGAGGACUUCAAGGGUUUCUUGGUGAAGCAUUCUGAUGGUAGAGGUUCAUAGAUGCGAUUCUCUUUUUCAUGAAAGUCGGCCAAUAAGUUUAUCUUCGGAAGGUAAACCACCUUUCCGAGUCCCUCUGAUUCACUAUCGGUAGCUUGACUGGCUUCAGGAAUUGCGAGGGUCACGCAAAGCAACAGUAGCAGGGAGACAAACAUGAUUUCCUGCAUAAAGAGUGUCUCUACCUUGAUGCUUGUGAUAAGGCACGAAAUCUGUGAAACGAAGACAGAUUUAAAUUAAUUAACUGA